CCUACGGGUGGCAGCAGUGAGGAAUAUUGGGCAAUGGGGGCAACCCUGACCCAGCCAUGCCGCGUGAAUGAAGAAGGUCUUCGGAUUGUAAAGCUCUAUCAGCAGGGAAGAAAAUGACGGUACCUGAGUACGAAGCCCCGGCUAACUACGUGCCAGCAGCCGCGGGAAUACGUCGGGGGCAAGCGUUAUCCGGAUUUACUGGGUGUAAAGGGAGCGUAGGCGGCAGUGCAAGUCUGGAGUGAAAGACGGGGGCGCAACCCCCGGACUGCUCUUGAAACUGUACGGCUGGAGUGCAGGAGAGGUAAGUGGAAUUCCUAGUGUAGCGGUGAAAUGCGUAGAUAUUAGGAGGAACACCAGUGGCGAAGGCGGCUUACUGGACUGUAACUGACGUUGAGGCUCGAAAGCGUGGGGAGCAAACAGGAUUAGAUACCCUUGUAGUC
rnacentral:rRNA from 1 species